rnacentral:rRNA from 1 species
UUGCCCAUCCCAGCGCUAACGCCGGCGGACUACACCUCCUGGGCGAUCAAAGUGGAGGCGAUCCUUGAUACUAGGGGGCUGUGGGGCGUGUUGGCUCCGGCGGACGGCACGGCGAUCGACGCCAAGAAGAGCAAGACCACGCGGGUGUUGCUCUUGGGGGCGUUGUCGGAGGGCGUGUCGAUGCAGGUGGCUAUGAAGCUCACGGCGAGGGAGGUGUGUGACAACCUCAUGGUGCGAUUCGUCAGAGCCAAUCAGGUGAAGGCAACGCGGCUUGCAACGCUCGGCGGCGAGUUCGAUCGCAUGCGCAUAGAGGACGGCGACGAGCUGGACGGGUACGCCGGGAAGAUCGGGAGUAUCGCGGCGAGAAACGCGGGCCUCGGAGCGACGCUCGAAGAUGCGGCAAUGGUGAAGAAGCUGCUCGACACCGUGCCGGACCGGUUGUACGUCCCCGUGCCCGACAUCGGGUAGUUCUACGACGUGGACUCGAUGCCGUUCGAGGAGGCGCUCGGACGGCUGAAGGCCUUCGAGGAGCAAACGCGGUGGCGCACUCAGAACAGCGGUGGACGUGAUGGCGUUCAGCUGAUGCUCACAACGGCACAGUGCGCGGCACGGCGGCGACUUCGACCACAAUGA